GUCCAGGUGACGAGUCCCUAAUAGGAUGAAACGCGCGUCCUGAC
rnacentral:hammerhead_ribozyme from 1 species